GCAGCCAGUUCUCUGCAGCUCCCAAAAUGUGUACUUGGAGGCCUGGCUAUAAUGAGUCUUGGCACGGAGAGGUCUCCGAAGAACCAGCCUCCAUGAUGUGAACAAACCUCCUCACCCUGACAUCCUGCUCUCCCGCUGACCCAAAGUAGCAGCUGAGCUAAGCAAUGAUGGGUGGAAGACUCUGAAACCAUGGGUUCUCAUAACCUUUCCUCUUUAUAAGGAUGAGCAAAGUGGUGAGAUUGUGACUCUGGCUGCUCAGCCCAAGCUCCCAUAUCCAUCCCAAGGCACAGAAGAGAAGAUGAAAA